rnacentral:tRNA from 1 species
AUCUGGAACAGCUCAGUUGGUAAAGCAUGAGACUCUUAAUCUCAGGGUUGUGGGUUUGAGCCCCACAUCGGGCA